UACGAAGGGGGCUAGCGUUGCUCGGAAUGACUGGGCGUAAAGGGCGCGUAGGCGGAUGGUACAGUCAGAUGUGAAAUUCCUGGGCUCAACCUGGGGGCUGCAUUUGAUACGUGCUGUCUUGAGUUCGGAAGAGGGUCGUGGAAUUCCCAGUGUAGAGGUGAAAUUCGUAGAUAUUGGGAAGAACACCGGUGGCGAAGGCGGCGACCUGGUCCGAUACUGACGCUGAGGCGCGAAAGCGUGGGGAGCAAACAGG
rnacentral:rRNA from 2 species